rnacentral:rRNA from 1 species
UAAGGAUAUGAACAUAUUUACCAGAGUACUAUGGAUCAAUGAUAUUUAAAACUCAAAGAGCUUGGCGGUGUUUUAGACUCUUUAGGGGAACCUGUCUCAUAAUCGACAAUCCACGUAAAACCUGACCUUUAUUUGCUAUCAGUUUGUAUACCGUCGUCGUCAGGUAACUUUUUAGAAGAAAGAAGUUAGCAGGAGAGCUUGCCAUAAGCUCUUACGUCAGAUCAAGGUGCAGCCAAUAUAAAGGGGAGGAUGGGUUACAAUUAUAAAAAUUAUAAUUACGAAAUAACAAUUUUAAAUAUUAGUUAUGAAGGAGGACUUAAAAGUAAAAUAAAAUAUGUUAAAUAUAUUGAAUCGAGC